rnacentral:rRNA from 1 species
GAGGGGGUGCGAGCGUUAUUCGGGAUUUACUGGGGCGUAAAGGGUGCGUAGACGGCAUGCUAAGUCUGUUGUUAAAUUCCUCGGGCUUAACCGAGGGUUCGGCAAUGGAAACUGGCAGGCUAGAGGGUAGGAGAGAGAAGUGGAAUUCCCGGAGUAGCGGUAAAAUGCGUAGAUCUCGGGAGGAACACCAAUGGCGAAGGCAGCCUCUUGGCCUACUACUGACGUUGAGGCACGAAAGCGUGGGGAGCAAACAGGAUUAGAUACCCUGGUAGUCCACGCCGUAAACGAUAAUCACUAGACGUUAGUUCAGCCUAGCUGGAUUAGUGUCGCAGCUAACGCAUUAAGUGAUUCGCCUGGGGACUACGAUCGCAAAGAUUAAA